AUUGAACGCUGGCGGCAGGCUUAACACAUGCAAGUCGAACGAGUGGCGGACGGGUGAGUAAUGUCUGGGAAACUGCCUGAUGGAGGGGGAUAACUACUGGAAACGGUAGCUAAUACCGCAUACCAUCGGAUGUGCCCAGAGGGGAUUAGCUAGUAGGUGGGGUAAUGGCUCACCUAGGCGACGAUCCCUAGCGGGUCUGAGAGGAUGACAGGCAAAACUGGAACUGAGACACGGUCCAGACUCCUACGGGAGGCAGCAGUGGGGAAGAUUGGACAAUGGGCGCAAGCCUGAUGCAGCCAUGCCGCGUGUAUGAAGAAGGCCUGCGGGUUGUAAAGUACUUUAAGCGAGGAGGCGUUACUCGCAGAAGAAGCACCGGCUAACUCCGUGCCAGCAGCCGCGGUAAUAC
rnacentral:rRNA from 1 species